rnacentral:rRNA from 1 species
UGGGGAAUAUUGGACAAUGGGCGCAAGCCUGAUCCAGCCAUGCCGCGUGUGUGAAGAAGGCCUUCGGGUUGUAAAGCACUUUUGUCCGGAAAGAAAAUCCUGUCGGCUAAUACCCGGCGGGGAUGACGGUACCGGAAGAAUAAGCACCGGCUAACUUCGUGCCAGCAGCCGCGGUAAUACGAAGGGUGCAAGCGUUACUCGGAAUUACUGGGCGUAAAGCGUGCGUAGGUGGUUUGUUAAGUCUGAUGUGAAAGCCCUGGGCUCAACCUGGGAACUGCAUUGGAUACUGGCUUACUGGAGUGCGGUAGAGGGUGGCGGAAUUCCCGGUGUAGCAGUGAAAUGCGUAGAUAUCGGGAGGAACAUCCGUGGUGAAGGCGGCCACCUGGACCAGCACUGACACUGAGGCACGAAAGCGUGGGGAGCAAAACAGGAUUAGAUACCCUGGUAGUCACGCCCUAAACGAUGCGAACUGGAUGUUGGGAGCAACUAGGCUCUCAGUAUCGAAGCUAACGCGUUAAGUUCGCCGCCUGGGAAGUACGGUCGCAAGACUGAAACUCAAAUGAAUUGACGGGGUCAUAGCUGUUUCCU